AUUGAACGCUGGCGGCAGGCCUAACACAUGCAAGUCGAACGAGUGGCGGACGGGUGAGUAAUGUCUGGGAAACUGCCCGAUGGAGGGGGAUAACUACUGGAAACGGUAGCUAAUACCGCAUACUAUCAGAUGUGCCCAGAUGGGAUUAGCUAGUUGGUGGGGUAACGGCUCACCUAGGCGACGAUCGCUAGCUGGUCUGAGAGGAUGAACAGCCACACUGGGACUGAGAAACGGUCCAGACUCCUACGGGAGGCAGCAGUGGGGAAUAUUGCACAAUGGGCGCAAGCCUGAUGCAGCCAUGCCGCGUGUAUGAAGAAGGCCUUCGGGUUGUAAAGUACUUUCAGCGGGGAGGCGUUACCCGCAGAAGAAGCACCGGCUAACUCCGUGCCAGCAGCCGCGGUAAUAC
rnacentral:rRNA from 1 species